GGAAGUAAAAUUCGUAACAAGGUCUCCGUUGGUGAACCAGCGGAGGGAUCAUUACAGAGUUGCAAAACUCCCAAACCAUUGUGAACGUUACCUAUCCCGUUGCUUCGGCGGGCGGCCCGGGCCCCGCGCCCGGCGCCCCCCGGCCCCCCGUGGGCGCCCGCCGGAGGUAAACCAAACCCUUGAAUUGCAUGGCCUCUCUGAGUCUUCUGUACUGAAUAAGUCAAAACUUUCAACAACGGAUCUCUUGGUUCUG
rnacentral:misc_RNA from 1 species